rnacentral:rRNA from 1 species
UUAAGCGACUAAGCGUACACGGUGGAUGCCCUGGCAGUCAGAGGCGAUGAAGGACGUGCUAAUCUGCGAUAAGCGUCGGUGAGGUGAUAUGAACCGUUAUAACCGGCGAUUUCCGAAUGGGGAAACCCAGUGUGUUUCGACACACUAUCAUUAACUGAAUCCAUAGGUUAAUGAGGCGAACCGGGGGAACUGAAACAUCUAAGUACCCCGAGGAAAAGAAAUCAACCGAGAUUCCCCCAGUAGCGGCGAGCGAACGGGGAGCAGCCCAGAGCCUGAAUCAGUGUGUGUGUUAGUGGAAGCGUCUGGAAAGGCGCGCGAUACAGGGUGACAGCCCCGUACACAAAAAUGCACAUGCUGUGAGCUCGAUGAGUAGGGCGGGACACGUGGUAUCCUGUCUGAAUAUGGGGGGACCAUCCUCCAAGGCUAAAUACUCCUGACUGACCGAUAGUGAACCAGUACCGUGAGGGAAAGGCGAAAAGAACCCCGGCGAGGGGAGUGAAAAAGAACCUGAAACCGUGUACGUACAAGCAGUGGGAGCCUCUUUAUGGGGUGACUGCGUACCUUUUGUAUAAUGGGUCAGCGACUUAUAUUCUGUAGCAAGGUUAACCGAAUAGGGGAGCCGAAGGGAAACCGAGUCUUAACUGGGCGUUAAGUUGCAGGGUAUAGACCCGAAACCCGGUGAUCUAGCCAUGGGCAGGUUGAAGGUUGGGUAACACUAACUGGAGGACCGAACCGACUAAUGUUGAAAAAUUAGCGGAUGACUUGUGGCUGGGGGUGAAAGGCCAAUCAAACCGGGAGAUAGCUGGUUCUCCCCGAAAGCUAUUUAGGUAGCGCCUCGUGAAUUCAUCUCCGGGGGUAGAGCACUGUUUCGGCAAGGGGGUCAUCCCGACUUACCAACCCGAUGCAAACUGCGAAUACCGGAGAAUGUUAUCACGGGAGACACACGGCGGGUGCUAACGUCCGUCGUGAAGAGGGAAACAACCCAGACCGCCAGCUAAGGUCCCAAAGUCAUGGUUAAGUGGGAAACGAUGUGGGAAGGCCCAGACAGCCAGGAUGUUGGCUUAGAAGCAGCCAUCAUUUAAAGAAAGCGUAAUAGCUCACUGGUCGAGUCGGCCUGCGCGGAAGAUGUAACGGGGCUAAACCAUGCACCGAAGCUGCGGCAGCGACACUAUGUGUUGUUGGGUAGGGGAGCGUUCUGUAAGCCUGCGAAGGUGUACUGUGAGGUAUGCUGGAGGUAUCAGAAGUGCGAAUGCUGACAUAAGUAACGAUAAAGCGGGUGAAAAGCCCGCUCGCCGGAAGACCAAGGGUUCCUGUCCAACGUUAAUCGGGGCAGGGUGAGUCGACCCCUAAGGCGAGGCCGAAAGGCGUAGUCGAUGGGAAACAGGUUAAUAUUCCUGUACUUGGUGUUACUGCGAAGGGGGGACGGAGAAGGCUAUGUUGGCCGGGCGACGGUUGUCCCGGUUUAAGCGUGUAGGCUGGUUUUCCAGGCAAAUCCGGAAAAUCAAGGCUGAGGCGUGAUGACGAGGCACUACGGUGCUGAAGCAACAAAUGCCCUGCUUCCAGGAAAAGCCUCUAAGCAUCAGGUAACAUCAAAUCGUACCCCAAACCGACACAGGUGGUCAGGUAGAGAAUACCAAGGCGCUUGAGAGAACUCGGGUGAAGGAACUAGGCAAAAUGGUGCCGUAACUUCGGGAGAAGGCACGCUGAUAUGUAGGUGAAGCGACUUGCUCGUGGAGCUGAAAUCAGUCGAAGAUACCAGCUGGCUGCAACUGUUUAUUAAAAACACAGCACUGUGCAAACACGAAAGUGGACGUAUACGGUGUGACGCCUGCCCGGUGCCGGAAGGUUAAUUGAUGGGGUUAGCGGUAACGCGAAGCUCUUGAUCGAAGCCCCGGUAAACGGCGGCCGUAACUAUAACGGUCCUAAGGUAGCGAAAUUCCUUGUCGGGUAAGUUCCGACCUGCACGAAUGGCGUAAUGAUGGCCAGGCUGUCUCCACCCGAGACUCAGUGAAAUUGAACUCGCUGUGAAGAUGCAGUGUACCCGCGGCAAGACGGAAAGACCCCGUGAACCUUUACUAUAGCUUGACACUGAACAUUGAGCCUUGAUGUGUAGGAUAGGUGGGAGGCUUUGAAGUGUGGACGCCAGUCUGCAUGGAGCCGGCCUUGAAAUACCACCCUUUAAUGUUUGAUGUUCUAACGUUGGCCCGUAAUCCGGGUUGCGGACAGUGUCUGGUGGGUAGUUUGACUGGGGCGGUCUCCUCCUAAAGAGUAACGGAGGAGCACGAAGGUUGGCUAAUCCUGGUCGGACAUCAGGAGGUUAGUGCAAUGGCAUAAGCCAGCUUGACUGCGAGCGUGACGGCGCGAGCAGGUGCGAAAGCAGGUCAUAGUGAUCCGGUGGUUCUGAAUGGAAGGGCCAUCGCUCAACGGAUAAAAGGUACUCCGGGGAUAACAGGCUGAUACCGCCCAAGAGUUCAUAUCGACGGCGGUGUUUGGCACCUCGAUGUCGGCUCAUCACAUCCUGGGGCUGAAGUAGGUCCAAGGGUAUGGCUGUUCGCCAUUUAAAGUGGUACGCGAGCUGGGUUUAGAACGUCGUGAGACAGUUCGGUCCCUAUCUGCCGUGGGCGCUGGAGAACUGAGGGGGGCUGCUCCUAGUACGAGAGGACCGGAGUGGACGCAUCACUGGUGUUCGGGUUGUCAUGCCAAUGGCACUGCCCGGUAGCUAAAUGCGGAAGAGAUAAGUGCUGAAAGCAUCUAAGCACGAAACUUGCCCCGAGAUGAGUUCUCCCUGACUCCUUGAGAGUCCUGAAGGAACGUUGAAGACGACGACGUUGAUAGGCCGGGUGUGUAAGCGCAGCGAUGCGUUGAGCUAACCGGUACUAAUGAACCGUGAGGCUUAACCUU